rnacentral:misc_RNA from 1 species
GAUGAAGAACGCAGCGAAAUGCGAUAAGUAAUGUGAAUUGCAGAAUUCAGUGAAUCAUCGAAUCUUCGAACGCACCUUGCACCCUUUGGCAUUCCGAAGGGUAUGCUCGUUUGAGUGUCAUUGUACUCUCACUCUCCCGAUGCUUUUGGAUCGGGAGUGGUGGACUUGGGUGUUGCUGCUUUGCUGUGGCUCGCCUCAAAUGGAGUAGUGCAACUCUUGGUUGGACAUAGUACGGCGUGAUAAGUGUCUUCGCCGGCGCCUCAUUAUAGAGGGUGGCCGAUCGGGAGCUCUGUGCUUCAAACCGUCUUCGGACAACAUCUGACAACUUGACCUCAAAUCGAGUAGGACUACCCGCUGAACUUAAGCAUAUCAAUAAGCGGAGGA